GGAAGUAAAAGCGUAACAAGGUUUCCGUAGGUGAACCUGCGGAAGGAUCAUUAAAAAAUCUAUCUGAGCCGCAAGGCUCUAUUAUUUUGUGCAACGUUUUGCGCGUGGUGGUGUGUGUGCGUAUCGUGUGUGGCGCCAUCAUUGAUGGUCGACAUGCAUACGUGCCCGCGGCAUCCGCAUGAUUAAUUUUAAACCGUACGUCUUUGAUGUCAGGUUAAACAAUAACAAUCAAUCCAUAAACAACCUUCAACAGUGGAUCUCUCGGCUCUU
rnacentral:misc_RNA from 1 species